rnacentral:rRNA from 1 species
UACGUAGGGGGCAAGCGUUAUCCGGAAUCAUUGGGCGUAAAGCGCGUGUAGGCGGUUCAGUAAGUCCGCUCUGAAAGCCCAGGGCUCAACCCUGGGAGGCGGGUGGAUACUACUGGACUAGAGUACGGAAGAGGAGAUUGGAAUUCCUGGUGUAGCGGUGAAAUGCGCAGAUAUCAGGAAGAACACCCGUGGCGAAGGCGGCUCUCUGGGACGGUACUGACGCUGAGACGCGAAAGCGUGGGGAGCGAACAGG